UAUUAGAAAGAAUACCAAUUGCGAAGGCAGCUUUCUGGAUCAUUACUGACACUGAGGAACGAAAGCAUGGGUAGCGAAGAGGAUUAGAUACCCUCGUAGUCCAUGCCGUAAACGAUGUGUGUUAGACGUUGGAAAUUUAUUUUCAGUGUCGCAGCGAAAGCGAUAAACACACCGCCUGGGGAGUACGACCGCAAGGUUAAAACUCAAAUGAAUUGACGGGGACCCGCACAAGUAGUGGAGCAUGCGGUUUAAUUCGAAGAUACGCGCAGAGCCUUACCAACACUUGACAUGUUCGUCGCGACUCUAAGAGAUUAGAGUUUUCGGUUCGGCCGGACGAAACACAGGUGCUGCAUGGCUGUCGUCAGCUCGUGUCGUGAGAUGUUGGGUUAAGUCCCGCAACGAGCGCAACCCUCACUUUUAGUUGCCAUCAUUAAGUUGGGCACUCUGAAAGAACUGCCAGUGAUAAGCUGGAGGAAGGUGGGGAUGACGUCAAGUCCUCAUGGCCCUUACGUGUUGGGCUACACACGUGCUACAAUGGUAUCUACAACAGGAAGCAAGACUGCGAGGUCAAGCAAAUCCUUAAAAGAUACCUCAGUUCGGAUUGCACUCUGCAACUCGAGUGCAUGAAGCUGGAAUUACUAGUAAUCGUGGAUCAGCGUGCCACGGUGAAUGCGUUCCCGGGCCUUGUACACACCGCCCA
rnacentral:rRNA from 1 species